ACACGACUACAUUAGAUACCCGGGUAGUCCCAGCCCUAAACGAUGCGCGUUAGGUGUAUCGGUGACCACGAGUCACCGAGGUGCCGAAGGGAAACCGUGAAACGUGCCGCCUGGGAAGUACGGUCGCAAGGCUGAAACUUAAAGGAAUUGGCGGGGGAGCACAACAACGGGUGGAGCUUGCGGUUUAAUUGGAUUCAACGCCGGAAAUCUUACCGGGACCGACAGCAACAUGAAGGCCAGGCUGAAGACUUUGCCGGAUUAGCUG
rnacentral:rRNA from 1 species